rnacentral:lncRNA from 1 species
UUCCUGGAAAGGAAAGGGCUUUGGUUAGCUCUUUGCUUGAUAGUUAAUAUGUGCAGCUUGAUAUAGUAAAGAGUUUUUUGAAGGGUUUCUGUUUGGUACUAUGUACUAAACUUGACUGAGAUACUGUCCAAAAAGAAGCAGCAACUUGGAUGUUAUAGUUUAGUUUAAACAAUCAAUUUGAAUCAUAGCCAAGUUGCAGGAAUUUCCUUAUUACUUAACACCCCACUUGCAAGAAUUUUCAGCCUUUCUGGUUCUUAAAGUGACAGUCUUUACUUAAGUUUUGACUUUGUUUGGAAUGGUCAGGAUAUGCUGUGAUAAGAGGAGGGAUUGGAGAUUUCGGAGCUAGCCGGCAUCAGAAUGCUUCAUCAUCAGGGAGGAUGAGUCC